rnacentral:rRNA from 1 species
AGUGAACGCUGGCGGUAGGCCUAACACAUGCAAGUCGAACGGCAGCACAGUAAGAGCUUGCUCUUACGGGUGGCGAGUGGCGGACGGGUGAGGAAUACAUCGGAAUCUACUUUUUCGUGGGGGAUAACGUAGGGAAACUUACGCUAAUACCGCAUACGACCUACGGGUGAAAGCAGGGGAUCUUCGGACCUUGCGCGAUUGAAUGAGCCGAUGUCGGAUUAGCUAGUUGGCGGGGUAAAGGCCCACCAAGGCGACGAGCCGUAGCUGGUCGGAGAGGAUGAGCGGCAAAAAUGGAACUGAGACACGGUCCAGACGACUAAGGGAGGCAGCAGGAGGGAAUGGUGCGAAAUGGGCGAAAGCUUGACGGAGCAACGGCGGGUGAGUGAUGAAGGUCUUCGGAUCGUAAAACUCUGUUAGUAGGGAAGAACAAAGGUGUAAGUAAAUAUGCACGUCUGGACGGUACCUAAUCAGAAAGCCACGGCUAACUACGUG